GAUCAGUGGCAUGGAUAUUGCUGGCAACUUUUACUCAGAUUUACUGUGAAAAUUGGGAGCAAAAAACAGAACUAAAAGAUUUUAAAAGCUUACAAUUUGACCAGAGAAGUGCUGGUAAAACUGGAGCCAAGAGAGGUGUGCUUGUUGAAAAAAUUAUAGACCCUAAAGAGAUACCAAGUACUUUCACAGAGACAAUAUUCCGGAAAGAUAGCUUGAGGGUAUCUCAGGAUUUUGCAAGACCACACCUUAUUGCAGGCUCAAGUGUGUAGAAAGGAAAAUUCCUUGAAGAAGAGAUCCUGGGGAUGCCUUAUUUGCACAUGAGGGCCUAGGAAGUUGUUUCACCAUACUCAGCCGGCCAAAUUCUCACAGGCUACUACAGCUGUGAUCCCUGAGAGCUCAGCUACUACAUGAACUGGCAGCAGACCUUGGCGUAAUCCACAUGGUGCUGUUUCUGCACAAAUUCAGGAUGCUUCUGUUAGAGGGUCAGGAAAGCUCCCACUGAGAUUUUAAAGGAAGGUCUGAGAGGCCAGGUGAAGUUUAGCAGGAUUGGAAUCCCUGCAGGCUGGCCCUGAGAAGACAAUGCAUGAUGCUGUGAAGUUGAAGCCAUAGCUGAAAUGGAGACCCCAAGAAUUUAGAGAUGCCAGUAAUGUGGGCUGUCUGAAAAGAAAAGUUGCUGGCUGUGGAGAAGGCCAGCCUAAAAUAAAGCCCAUGUGUGCUGCAACCAGGAAAGUCAAAGGGCAGAGCUGCCCAAGCUCUUUGGAAAGAACAUCUCGCAGCCAUGUGUCCUAAAUGCUGUACAAGGAGUUACAGUGGAGUUACAGGACCUGUUUGUCCAAUUUGGUUUUGGUCUUGCUUUGGCCCCAUUUCUUUCUUUUCUUUUUUUUUUUUUUUUUNCCUUUAGCACCCUGCCUUUACUUCCUUGUUGCCAUGAAUGGAGCAGUUCUCCUCAACCAUGCCCAUCUGCCAUGAUGUUCUCCCUCAUCUUGGGCCCAGAGCAAUGGAGUUCAUCCACCAUGGACUCAACAACUGGUACUAUGAGCCAAAAUAAACUUUUCCUCCUUUGAGUUGCUCUUACCAAGUAUUUUGGUCAUAGUGAUGAAAAAUCUUGACUAAAACAAGUGCCAUGGUCAUACAAUUUUUGUUAUAAUAAUUGUUCUAUUUUAUUAUUAUUAAUUUUUGUUACUAACCUCUUACUGUGCCUAAUUGAUAAGUUUUAUCAUAGGUAUAGAUGUAUAGGAAAAUACAGUGUAUAUAGGGUUUAGUACUUUCUGAGUUUCAGGCAUCCACUGGGAGUCUUAUAAUGUAUCUUCCACAAAUAAGGUGGACUACUGUAUCCCUUACUCAUGCAUAUGCACAGAUUUCCCUAUUAACUCCCCCUAUCAAAGUUACAACAUUUGUUACAGUUGAUGAUCCUGCACUGAUACCUUAUUAUGACCCAAAGACCAUUAUUUACAUGAGGGUUCACUCUUGGUAUUUAUUAUAUAUUCUGUGCACUUAGACAUAUCAAUGUUAAUGACAUGUAUCCACCUUUAUAGUAUAGAAAAUAAUUUCAUUGCCCUAAAAAUUCUCACUGCUCUGCCUAUUCAUCCCUUCCCCCUAACUCCUGGCAACCACUGAUCUUUUUAUUGUCUUCAGAGUUUUGCUGUUAGCAGAAUGUCAUAUAGUUGAAAGCAUAUAAUAUGUAGCCUUUAUAUAAACUGACUUCCCUCACAUAGUAAUAUCCAUUUAAGUUUCCUCCAUGUCUUUUCAUGGCUUGAUGCUUCAUUUCUCUCUAGCACUGAAAAUAUUCCAUUGUUUAUUCACUCAACUGUGAUGGCAUCGUGGUUGCUUCUCAGUUUUGGCCAUUAUGAUGAUGCUAAUCUGUAAUCAUCUAUGUGCAGGUUUUUAUUUGUACCUAAGUUUUCAGCUCCUUUAGGCAGACACCAAGGAGCACAAUUGCUAGAUCAUAUAGUUAAGCAUAUGAUCAGUUUUGUGAGAAAUCACCAGUCUUCCAAAAUGGCUACAACAUUUUGCAUUCCCA
rnacentral:lncRNA from 1 species